rnacentral:rRNA from 1 species
ACGCUGGCGGCGUGCCUAACACAUGCAAGUCGAACGGAGAUUACGGACGGAAGUUUUCGGAUGGAAGACUGUAAUUCUUAGUGGCGGACGGGUGAGUAACGCGUGGGCAACCUGCCCUAUACAGGGGGAUAGCAGCUGGAAACGGCUGGUAAGACCGCAUAAGUCGGCGAGACCGCAUGGUUUUGCCGGGAAAUGAGCAAUCAGGUAUAGGAUGGGCCCGCGUCCGAUUAGCCAGUUGGCAGGGUAAAAGCCUACCAAAGCAACGAUCGGUAGCCGGACUGAGAGGUCGGACGGCCACAUUGGGACUGAGACACGGCCCAAACUCCUACGGGAGGCAGCAGUGGGGGAUAUUGCACAAUGGAGGAAACUCUGAUGCAGCGACGCCGCGUGAGUGAAGAAGUAUUUCGGUAUGUAAAGCUCUAUCAGCAGGGAAGAUGAUGACGGUACCUGACUAAGAAGCCCCGGCUAACUACGUGCCAGCAGCCGCGGUAAUACGUAGGGGGCAAGCGUUAUCCGGAUUUACUGGGUGUAAAGGGAGCGCAGGCGGUUUGGCAAGUUGAGAGUGGAAGCAGGGGGCUCAACCCCCUGACUGCUCCCAAAACUGUUAAACUUGAGUAUGGGAGAGGCAGGCGGAAUUCCUAGUGUAGCGGUGAAAUGCUUAGAUAUUAGGAAGAACACCGGUGGCGAAGGCGGCCUGCUGGACCAAAACUGACGCUGAGGCUCGAAAGCGUGGGUAGCAAACAGGAUUAGAUACCCUGGUAGUCCACGCUGUAAACGAUGAAUACUAGGUGCUGGGAGGCAUAAGCCUUUCGGUGCCGUCGCAAACGCAUUAAGUAUUCCACCUGGGGAGUACGUUCGCAAGAAUGAAACUCAAAGGAAUUGACGGGGACCCGCACAAGCGGUGGAGCAUGUGGUUGAA